UCCAUGGCCCGGCCCACCCCAGCCCACGGGCACCCGAGGAAGCCCAGCACUCCAUGGGAACCAGCUUGAGAAGCACUUGCGAGGCCUCCGGGGACAGCAACCGGAGCGGAGAGGGCCACCCCGGGCUCCUACCUGGAGGCCGCGAUCUCGGCCUUCUGCCUGGCGAUGGUGGCGGCCCGCUCGGCGGUCUCCACCGCACGGUCCACCUUCUCGCGGAUCUUGCUGGCGCGCAGCGGGAUGAGGUUCUUGCGCUUGCCGCUCACGAGGACGUUCUGCUUGUACUUGCCCUCCUCCUUGGUGCCGUCCGGGAAGGUCAUGCAGCCGUAGCCGUGCCGCCGGUUGCCGGCCCACUCGCCCUCGUACUUGAGCCCGUCGGAGCGCUGGCUCACGCCGAAGCCCGAGCGCUUGUCGUUCUUCCACUCGCCCACGUAGGUCUCCGUGGUGGUGGCGUCGAUGUCAUCCUCGAUGACGGCCAGCUCGGCCUCCGCCUCACCCAGGCUGAUGGUGGAAGAGCACACGUAUGCUCAGGGGAUUUAUUCCCAGCAGAAGCAGUCAUUGCUGCACCUCACUCCCCUCCCGGGCAUCCAUGCCUGAAAAAUAACCCAGCCGCCCGCCUGGAGGGAGGCUGGGAGCCACCUCUGGAGCGCUCCGAGCGGGGGAGGGCGCGGGGUGACUGGGGUCUCUGCCUGCGCCCAGUGCGCCCGUGUGUGGAAACUGGAGAGUCCCGGCAGGGCAGCUCCAAAGCCAGCCAAGGCCCCCUGCCCAGAAACCAUCUUCAGGCAGCUCACUGGCUUCCAGCAUCCACUCUGCCCCCAGGGUGGUGGCCUCCCGGAAUGAAGGCGCAGAGCAAUUCCCUCAACUAACAGUGAAAUGAUUCAGCCACUGAAAGGCGAGAUUCCUGGGCUCUUGCUAACAGAUGGGCCUCCCUCCUUCCCUCUGUCCCUCCCUCCCUCCCUCCCUCCCUCCCGCAGCCUGCUUCGACAGCGGAGCUGCGUCCAACCACCCAGAAGUUUACUGCCUUUCUGUUUGGUGGGGUUGGCAUCCCCGCCUCCAGCGCUCUCAGGUGGUCCUUCUCCAUUGGCCUGCGAUCAGGAUCAGCAAGGCCCUAAGCACUGCAGGAAAACAAGAACUGGAGCUGGGGCCUGACUCCCCAAGACACCAGGGGGCCGCAACACGAGCCAGUGUAUUCGCCUUGGCCCUUGGGGCCGGUGCAGACGCCAUGGCCGUGCGCCUUGCCGUCCUCCCAGCCUCCGCAGUACGACCCUCCAUCGUCGAAAUUAAACCUGCCCCCAGUGGACAUGCAUGUACCGCGGUCCGCGAAUCCCGCAGGCGGCGAAAAAGGACGCGGCGCCCGGGGGGCCGGAGUCGUGCUGGGCUGGCGACGCCCGGGCCGCCCCUCGCUCGGGAGCUCGGAG
rnacentral:lncRNA from 1 species